GACGAACGCUGGCGGCGUGCCUAAUACAUGCAAGUCGAACGCAGUGGGGACGGGUGAGUACCACGUUGGUAACCUCCCAUCAGAGGGGAUAACACUUGGAAACAGGUGCUAAACCGAUACUGAUGGAUGGACCCGCGGUGCAUUAGCUAGUUGGUGAGGUAACGGCUCACCAAGGCCACGAUGCAUAGCCGACCUGAGAGGGGGAUCGGCAACACUGGGACUGAGAAACGGCAAAGACUCCGACGGGAGGAAGCAGUAGGGAAGCUUCGGCAAUGGACGAAAGUCUGACCGAGCAACGCCGCGUGAGUGAAGAAGGUUUGAGGAUCGUAAAACUCUGUUGUUAGAGAAGCGGUAUCUAACCAGAAAGCCACGGCUAACUACGUGCCAGCAGCCGCGGUAAUUC
rnacentral:rRNA from 1 species